ACAUAUAUAUAUAUUCAGUACAUUUUGGGAGGAUCACUUGAGCCCAGGAGUUUGAAACCAGCCUGGACAACACAGGGAUACCCCAUCUCUUAAAAAUAAAGAGAAAAAAAUUAAAGCUAUUCCAAAAAUGAGGACACCCUCCCAGCAUCCGAGGCCCAACCCCAUGUGCCACGCUGGUCGCCUCUGCCAUCUUUCACCUCCGGGCGCUCCUAGAGCUGUCCCUGGGCUGAUGGCUUCUGAGGGGGGCUGUGGUUGGGUCCUGCUCACCUGGACCGCCGCCUUGGCCGCUCUUGGUGAAGGGCCCCUUGCCCAGCCCGUCGUCAUCCUCCUGGGUUUCCAUGUGACAGGUCCACCGUCCUGUGGGGCGGUGUCUCACAUUUGCCUUGCUGUUAAAAAAUGGGGGACACUAUCCCUGGGCCUCCGAUCACCGGCCCUGCCCUUGGGCAGGGAUGGUUCUCAGCAGCUCCUUGCUCUGGGGGCCCAGCUCCUUGUCCAAGAGGCCUUUGGAGAACUGGGGUCAGAGCUGUGGGGAGGGACAGCCCUCCUGUGCAGGCUGCCUCCCAGCUCUCCACAUGGCAGUCUUGGCACUGCCCUGGCGCCUCUGCUCACUGGCACAGGCGGAUCUGGGGUUCGAGGUCUCCUCCUACUUCACCUUGACUUUCUUGUACGUAUGGGGUCAACGCCUCCUCUCUGAAGCCCACGGGUCCUCUCCCAGCCCCAGGCUGCACCCAGUGCAGAGCCUUUGCCUCCUGGCUGGAGAGGCUCUUCUGCAGGCUGAUUCCAGCAGAACCUGAUGGUGGGACCAGCACCAGACCACGCCUUCGCCUCCCAGAGGCCUCCUGGCCCUCCUGUCACGGCCUCUGAGACCUAUACCCUUCGGCCCCAUCUCCUGACCUGCAGGCCGCAGGACCAGCUGCCCACGGCCCACACACUUCCUGGGCAUUUCUUUAGAGCUUUAAAAUGGUACCUGGAGACCACCAGGCGCAGUGAUCAGAUCCGGCGGUGUGGUACCUCCCAGUACUGACCACUUCUUGGUCUCAGACUGAGGUGCGGUGCGGCAGGCAGGGGAUGUGGCCCAGGAGGGAGGCAGGUGGCCUGGGAGGCUCCCGGACCCUCAGUGAGCCUGUGUCUCUGGGCGCUUCAGCUCUGUGCCCUGCUCCUUUCUUCCAGAACAUUCCCCACUGGGGCCAGAGAAUUGUGUUUGCACCAGGAAUGCAUCCUAGCGUGUGUACGAUCACGCCUGGGUGUCCUGUUCUCAUAAGCAAGCGGUUUUAACCAGCAGCAUAAUUUAUACUCAUAGACAGGACUGGGGGAAGGGCCAUUCCCGAGGCUGGAGUGCAGUGCCUUGGAAAGCAUCCCCAAAACAGUAGACCUUGUAUUUUUAGUGUCCCUUGCAACCAUCCUUUGACUUAGAGCAAGAAUUUCCGCUGCUGCUACCCCCGAGAUGGGCUUCACCAGAUGUUAAUAACGUGCUUAUUUUCGCUAAGUGCUAUUUUGGCACCAGUGUUAGUUGCAAUUUAUAUUCUGCAGCAUUUGAUGCUGGGAAAAGAACCCACCCUAAUGGUCCCCAAUUGGCAGAGCUCGGCUGUUAAGCGGCAGACCAUAUGCUGCCUGACGGAGGAGCGUGGUCAGCACUUGUCGCCGUGAUCGCGUGCGUGUGCCUGCGUGUGUGUGCCUGCAUGCACGUGUGCAUGCGGGUACCUGUGCCCUGUGUGUGCACGUGUGCCUGCGUGCAUGUGCCUGUGUGCACGUGUGCCUGCGUGUACGUGUGCCUGUGUGUGUGUGCCUGUGUAAACCUGUGCCAUGUGUGUGCAUGCGUGUGUGAGUCACGUCUUCCCUGUGUGAGUGUGAGGGAGAGACUGAGGGCUUGGAGGGAGGGUGGAGGGGAAAAGGUAUGUAUCCCUUUGUUCUUUAAAAGGGAGCGUUCCUACUUCUCUGGCUGCCCUGUCCUGCCUGUGCCCCCAGCUCACCCCAGACCUAGCUGCUAUUUAUUCUCCUGACUUCCUCCUGGCCCCGCAGCUCCAGGGCCCUGUGGCCUGUGACCCUGCAGCCCCUUGUCCCGCAGCCUCCGCCCCGCCGCCUGCUCCAUGUCACCAGGCAACACUGGGCCCCACCAGGCUUCUGAAGGUGGCCCAGGGCAGGCACUUGAGCCUGAGGACCCAGAGCAAAGGUGCCUUUCUGGGCCUUGGGUGCUCCUCUCUGCUGUGUGAGGCUUUUCUCGUUUUCAAGGGCCCGUCCAGCCCAGAGGAGCUGGGUGAGGGCUGCUUCCUUCUGCAGCAGAGGAGGCGGGCUCCAUCCCUGCCAUCUGCUGCCCCCAGAUGCUCUGCCAGGACACAGGCCUGAGAGGUUUCUUCUCCAAGAGGCCGUCCCGGGACCUGUGUGUGCACAGGGUGGGAAGACACUCGCUGCUUCGACCCAGGACUGCAGCCAGGAUGGGCUGAACUCCUGUGGCGCUAAAAACACAAAAGGCGUGCCUGCCAGCUCAGCAGCGCCCUCCCUCAGCCACUCCCUGUACCCGGACCCAGAGCCACAGGCCUUUGGGCUCAAGGGACUGGGGCUGGGCUCAGGCUUGGGCCUGGGGGGCUCAUGGAGGGGCCAGGCCUAGAGUAGUAGGGCUGCGACAGCUGAGGGCUGGGCUCCUGCCAGCCGAUGAAGCUCCAGACCAGUGUCCCGGCCUUGGAGGUGUCAGCAAUGCUCCUGCAGGGAUGGAGGGUGCUGGAGGCCUGGAUGCGGAGACCCUGAACCCCCAGCAGGCAGUGCUGUGGCAGCCUCCCACCUCCUCUUCCCCUGUUAUCUGCUCCUUUUAGGAUCUGAAAAUUACAGAUUUUUUUUUUUUUUUUUUUGGAGAAGGAGUCUUGCUUUGUCCUCUAGGCUGGAGUGCAGUGGCACGAUCUCAGCUCACUCACUACAACCUCUGCCUCACAGGUUCAAGCGACUCUCCCACCUCAGCCUCCCGAGUAGC